AGAGUUUGAUCAUGGCUCAGAAUCAACGCUGGCGGCGUGCCUAACACAUGCAAGUCGAGUGCGCGGUUGUAGCAAUACAACUGGCGCACGGCGCACGGGUGCGUAACACGUGGGCAAUCUGCCCUUCGAUGGGGAAUAACUCCGGGAAACCGAAGCUAAUUCCGCAUAACAUUCCUUGGACCUCGGUUCGAGGACUCAAAGCCGUAAGGCGUCGAAGGAGGAGCCCGCGCACGAUUAGCUAGUUGGUAGGGUAACGGCCUACCAAGGCUUUGAUCGUUAGCUGGUCUGAGAGGAUGGCCAGCCACACUGGAACUGAGACACGGUCCAGACUCCUACGGGAGGCAGCAGUGGGGAAUCUUGCACAAUGGGCGAAAGCCUGAUGCAGCGACGCCGCGUGGGGGAUGAAGCAUUUCGGUGUGUAAACCCCUUUCGACCCGGACGAAUGCCUCGCAAGAGGAGUGACGGUACGGGUAUAAGAAGCCCCGGCUAACUACGUGCCAGCAGCCGCGGUAAGACGUAGGGGGCCAGCGUUGUUCGGAAUUACUGGGUGUAAAGGGUUCGUAGGCGGUGUGGCAAGUUGGGAGUGAAAUCUCUGGGCUCAACCCAGAGGCUGCUUCCAAAACUGCUGUGCUUGAGUGUGGGAGAGGCGCGUGGAAUUGCAGGUGUAGCGGUGAAAUGCGUAGAUAUCUGCAGGAACACCCGUGGCGAAAGCGGCGCGCUGGACCACAACUGACGCUGAGGAACGAAAGCUAGGGGAGCAAACAGGAUUAGAUACCCUAGUAGUCC
rnacentral:rRNA from 1 species